rnacentral:rRNA from 1 species
ACCCCGGUAGUCCACGCCGUAAAUGAUGGAUACUGGACAUUGGUACUCGAUCGUAUCAGUGUCUCAAGCUAACGCAUUAAGUAUCCCGCCUGGGGAGUACGGUCGCAAGAUUAAAACUCAAAGGAAUAGACGGGGACCCACACAAGCGGUGGAGCAUGUGGUUUAAUUCGACAAUAAGCGAGGAACCUUACCAGGGCUUGACAUCCCGAGAAUUCUUUAGAAAUAGAGAAGUGCCUUUAUGGAACUCGGUGACAGGUGCUGCAUGGUUGUCGUCAGCUCGUGCCUUGAGGUGUUCGGUUAAGUCCGUAAACGAGCGCAACCCUAGUCCUAUGUUGUAUAUUUCAUAGGAGACUGCCUUGUCCAACGAGGAGGAAGGUUAGGAUGACGUCAAAUCAGCAUGGCCCUUAUGUCCUGGGCGACACACGUGCUACAAUGGUCGGUACAAUGGGUAGCCAACCCGUGAGGGGGAGCCAAUCCCAUCAAAGCCGGUCCAAGUUCGGAUUGGAGGCUGCAACUCGCCUCCAUGAAGUUGGAAUCGCUAGUAAU